rnacentral:rRNA from 1 species
UGGGGAAUAUUGCACAAUGGGCGCAAGCCUGAUGCAGCCAUGCCGCGUGUAUGAAGAAGGCCUUCGGGUUGUAAAGUACUUUCAGCGAGGAGGAAGGCGGUAAGGUUAAUAACCUUAUCGAUUGACGUUACUCGCAGAAGAAGCACCGGCUAACUCCGUGCCAGCAGCCGCGGUAAUACGGAGGGUGCAAGCGUUAAUGGGAAUUACUGGGCGUAAAGCGCACGCAGGCGGUCUGUCAAGUCGGAUGUGAAAUCCCCGGGCUCAACCUGGGAACUGCAUUCGAAACUGGCAGGCUAGAGUCUUGUAGAGGGGGGUAGAAUUCCAGGUGUAGCGGUGAAAUGCGUAGAGAUCUGGAGGAAUACCGGUGGCGAAGGCGGCCCCCUGGACAAAGACUGACGCUCAGGUGCGAAAGCGUGGGGAGCAAACA